rnacentral:siRNA from 1 species
CUACCAUGUAAUCACAAUCAUUA